AAAGCCAGAGGCUUUGGCAAGGGGUAGGUACAGAUGUGGCUGAGACAGGGCCCUGGACGUUUGCUGAGUGAUGUCAGGUCAGCUCGUAGGAGGCUUCUCUGACCUUCCAGGGUCUCACCGGCUUCUGGUAGCUGAGUUAACCCACCUCAGGUGCUGGAGGCCCUCCAGCUGUCAGCUGGGGCCUGUGCACCCCCCAGACUGACUGAAGGGCUUUGCACACAGUUUGAAAGGCCUCUGCGCUUUGGAGCCCAAUUUAGAACUUGAAGGCUUGACCUUUGUGUUUUGGACAACUGUUUUAUGUUUAACCUCAGAUGGAGGUGACCAUCGAACCAGAGUGAUGGUAGCAGGAGCUGGGACAGAGCCCCGGGGCUGGCGCCCAGGGACAGGGGGCACGAGGCGGACGGGCGGCGCAGUCCAGGCCAGCACUGGCCCCGUGGGCCUGGGUUUCCACCGUCUCUACAGUGUGGGUGGCCCCUUCAGUUCCAUGUGGGCUUCGCUAGCGGUGUUGGCCGCUGAGCUCUGCAGCUGCCGUGUCUGUGGGCAGCAGUUGUUUCUCCUGCACCAACUGUGUCAUCCAGAGGCGUUCAGAGCCUGCUGUUGUCACGCUCUAGCUGCACAGCUGCGCCCGCGAGUGCGCGUCACGCAUCCGAGGCCUCAGCGUGGCCUGGCAGCAUCUGUCGGGUCCGAGCAGUCAGUCCAGAGGGUCGACUCUGAAUCAAAACAAAAUGUCGUGGUUUGAAAUGGAAGGAAACCUGGCCCCUGAAGACUUUAAAAAAUUCAAAAAGCCUUUGCUCCCUCAAUUAUGAAGAUG
rnacentral:sRNA from 1 species